rnacentral:rRNA from 1 species
UCCACGCCCUAAACGAUGAACACUAGUCGUCGGGAUGCUAGUCAUCUCGGUGAUGCACUUAACAGAUUAAGUGUUCCGCCUGGGGAGUACGGUCGCAAGAUUAAAACUCAAAGGAAUAGGCGGGGCACGCUACAAUGGGGCGUACAGAGAGUUGCGAUACCGCGAGGUGGAGCCAAUCUCAUAAAGCGUCUCUCAGUUCGGAUAGCAGUCUGCAACUCGACUGCUUGAAGCUGGAAUCACUAGUAAUCGUAGAUCAGCAAUGCUACGGUGAAUACGUUCCCGGGUCUUGUACUCACCGCCCGUCACACCAUGGGAGUUGAUUUCACCCGAAAUUGGG